GACGAACGCUGGCGGCGUGCUUAACACAUGCAAGUCGAACGCUGAAGCUUGGUGCUUACACUGGGUGGAUGAGUGGCGAACGGGUGAGUAAUACGUGAGUAACCUGCCCUUGACUCUGGGAUAAGCCUGGGAAACUGGGUCUAAUACUGGAUACGACAUGUCACCGCAUGGUGGUGUGUGGAAAGGGUUUUACUGGUUUUGGAUGGGCUCACGGCCUAUCAGCUUGUUGGUGGGGUAAUGGCUCACCAAGGCGACGACGGGUAGCCGGCCUGAGAGGGUGACCGGCCACACUGGGACUGAGACACGGCCCAGACUCCUACGGGAGGCAGCAGUGGGGAAUAUUGCACAAUGGGCGGAAGCCUGAUGCAGCGACGCCGCGUGAGGGAUGACGGCCUUCGGGUUGUAAACCUCUUUCAGCACGGAAGAAGCGAAAGUGACGGUACGUGCAGAAGAAGCGCCGGCUAACUACGUG
rnacentral:rRNA from 1 species